UAAUGUACACGAAUGCAUUUAAUUUUCAUUCUUUGCAUCAAUGAGAAUGAGCUGUCAAAAGUGAACUAUCUCACCACUACAUACAUUGAAAACUGUAAACAUAAAAAACAAAGGUUGAUUGUCACGCUAGUUUUUUGUUUUGUUUGCGGUGUCUUCGACCGGCAGACGACUUCGACCGAUUAUGGUCCAUCUUACCUGGCCGUAGUUAAUUCCGAACCAGCUUCCAAUCGCACCUUUUACAUGACUGCAAGAUCGCCUCCGCCUUCGAAAGGUGUCCAACAGUUGCAGGCAAGUGGUGUUUUGGAAACGCUUCGCCUGCGGCAACAUUGUGCGUUAAUGGCUAACCGACACGGACAAGCACCCGCUGGGACACUGAAUCUUCUGCGCCGUUCUGAUCGCUUAUCUGGAACCGAGUCUGAAAAUCAUCGAGGGUCAAUGUUUUGCCGAAACAAAUCACUUGGGACAUGGACUUCAAUCUUACGCCCGUGGAUUAUUCCACUGUGGCGCCGGAAGUGCAAGUGCUGGGGAACUACACGACCACCGCCACCCAGAUUCAACAGUUCCGUCGAAGUUACUUGACGAGGCAGCGAGCUCUACAGAGACUGACCAGCAUUGUCAAGUAAUUGUACGCUGGUUCCUGACCAUUCCAACCACGCUCAACAACCCGGAAUAGGGAGGUGCAAAUCGAGAAGUAUCGAAGGGAUUACAAUCUGCUGAGGAACAGCAUCAAGCGCGGCAUCGGGAAGUACAAAUUGGAGGCACUGCACAACGCCUUGCAGAGGGGCUGAUGCGGAGGCGGACGAGUAUUUCUGAGAGUAUCUAUUUUAUUUUCAUGCUAAAGGCUGUCAUGGUACAGCAGGCACUUGUUUUCAUGGCUCAAGAAUUUUUCGUGCAAAAUACAACAUUUUACUCGUAACCUUACUCUUCGGAUCUAC